AAUCCUUUAGAGAUAGAGGAGUGUUGAAAGAGAGCCGUAACACAGGUGCUGCAUGGCUGUCGUCAGCUCGUGUCGUGAGAUUGUUGGGUUAAGUCCCGCAACGAGCGCAACCCUUGUCAUUAGUUGCUACAUUCAGUUGGGCACUCUAAUGAGACUGCCGGUGACAAACCGGAGGAAGGUGGGGAUGACGUCAAGUCCUCAUGGCCCUUAUAGGUGGGGCUACACACGUCAUACAAUGGAUGGUACAAAGGGUCGCCAACCCGCGAGGGGGAGCCAAUCCCAUAAAGCCAUUCGUAGUCCGGAUCGCAGUCUGCAACUCGACUGCGUGAAGUCGGAAUCGCUAGUAAUCGUGGAUCAGAAUGUCACGGUGAAUACGUUCCCGGGUCUU
rnacentral:rRNA from 1 species